CAGGCCUAACACAUGCAAGUCGAGCGGUAACAGAGAGUAGCUUGCUACUCUGCUGACGAGCGGCGGACGGGUGAGUAAUGCUUGGGAAUGUACCUUAUGGUGGGGGACAACAGUUGGAAACGACUGCUAAUACCGCAUAAUGUCUUCGGACCAAAGCGGGGGACCUUCGGGCCUCGCGCCAUAAGAUCAGCCCAAGUGGGAUUAGCUAGUUGGUGAGGUAAUGGCUCACCAAGGCGACGAUCCCUAGCUGGUUUGAGAGGAUGAUCAGCCACACUGGGACUGAGACACGGCCCAGACUCCUACGGGAGGCAGCAGUGGGGAAUAUUGCACAAUGGGCGCAAGCCUGAUGCAGCCAUGCCGCGUGUGUGAAGAAGGCCUUCGGGUUGUAAAGCACUUUCAGUAAGGAGGAAAGGUUGGAUGUUAAUAGCAUUCAGCUGUGACGUUACUAACAGAAGAAGCACCGGCUAACUCCGUGCCAGCAGCCGCGGUAAUACGGAGGGUGCGAGCGUUAAUCGGAAUUACUGGG
rnacentral:rRNA from 1 species